rnacentral:rRNA from 1 species
ACGCUGGCGGCGUGCCUAAUACAUGCAAGUAGAACGCUGAAGAGAGGAGCUUGCUCUUCUUGGAUGAGUUGCGAACGGGUGAGUAACGCGUAGGUAACCUGCCUUGUAGCGGGGGAUAACUAUUGGAAACGAUAGCUAAUACCGCAUAACAAUGGGUGACACAUGUCAUUUAUUUGAAAGGGGCAAUUGCUCCACUACAAGAUGGACCUGCGUUGUAUUAGCUAGUAGGUGAGGUAACGGCUCACCUAGGCGACGAUACAUUGCCGACCUGAGAGGGUGAUCGGCCACACUGGGACUGAGACACGGCCCAGACUCCUACGGGAGGCAGCAGUAGGGAAUCUUCGGCAAUGGGGGCAACCCUGACCGAGCAACGCCGCGUGAGUGAAGAAGGUUUUCGGAUCGUAAAGCUCUGUUGUAAGUCAAGAACGAGUGUGAGAGUGGAAAGUUCACACUGUGACGGUAGCUUACCAGAAAGGGACGGCUAACUACGUGCCAGCAGCCGCGGUAAUACGUAGGUCCCGAGCGUUGUCCGGAUUUAUUGGGCGUAAAGCGAGCGCAGGCGGUUUGAUAAGUCUGAAGUUAAAGGCUGUGGCUCAACCAUAGUUCGCUUUGGAAACUGUCAAACUUGAGUGCAGAAGGGGAGAGUGGAAUUCCAUGUGUAGCGGUGAAAUGCGUAGAUAUAUGGAGGAACACCGGUGGCGAAAGCGGCUCUCUGGUCUGUAACUGACGCUGAGGCUCGAAAGCGUGGGGAGCGAACAGGAUUAGAUACCCUGGUAGUCCACGCCGUAAACGAUGAGUGCUAGGUGUUGGAUCCUUUCCGGGAUUCAGUGCCGCAGCUAACGCAUUAAGCACUCCGCCUGGGGAGUACGACCGCAAGGUUGAAACUCAAAGGAAUUGACGGGGGCCCGCACAAGCGGUGGAGCAU